AUAGUAGCUAGUAAACCUGAUAACGAAAGUACUAAUAAAUAAAACUACUAGUAAAUAAAUAUAGUUUUAAUAAAACAAGCAAUUGAACAAUAUACAACGAAACAUGGUGUCAGAAGCGUAGUCGAAAAUCGCCGACAGCUUAAAAAGAAUAAAAAAUAAAAGUUAGAAGCAAUUUUCCCUCCAAUAAAUAUAAUAAAAAACGAGAAGUUAAAAAUAAGAAAAUCGUACGGAUGUAUCAAAAGUGUAGUGAAAAAUGGAAUACUUCAAGUCCCCGGAAGCGUUUAAUGUACAGGAGCCACAUGGAUGGUCCAAAUGGAAGCAAAGAUUUGAAAUAUUUUUGUUAGCUUCAGGAAAAAGCACUACUGAGGAAAAUAUAAAAGUAGCUGUUGAAUAUUCUUGUAUAUCUAUAAUACAUUUGAAACAACCAAAACUUCAAAACUAGAUGUGUUAUUUAGUUUUGAUGAUCAUUUCUUACCCAAAGAAAUGACAAACAGCACCAAAACAAGUGGUAAGAACGAGGUAAUUAUUCUAAUUCCAAAUAGCCAGAAAACAGGAGGCAAGAAGAAUAUCGGUCAAAUGAACAAGAUGAAGCUGAGGUUAAGAAACUAACAUCAGGUUUUUGGGCAUGUAAACUCAGAAUUCAGAUAUUAUAAGUAGGGACAAUGCAGGUAUUGAGAAUUCUAUUUUUAUUAAUGAGCAUAAGCCAAAUAUUAAAAACAAUAGCUGGUAUGAACCUAUUACUGUUAACAAUAUUGACAAUUGACAUUAUGUUUAAGCUUGAAACAGGAGCUGAAUCUAGCGUUGUACCUUUGAAAUAUUUUAAUGAUCUAAAUGUUGAUAAAUCUAAAAUUAUUUCAACAUCCAUGACAAUAAUUUCCUAUUGAAAUUUUGAAUCAAAACCUCUAGGUCACAUAACACUUGAGUGUUUUUAUAAAAGUCAAUUAAAAAUGUUGAAUUUUUUAUAGUUGAUUUAGAGUCAGGGUCUUCACUGGAGUUAGGUGAUUGUUUACAUUUUAACAUGAUAUCUAGAGUGAGUGCAGUUCAAACCAAGAUGUUAAUUGAUAAUACUGCCAAAAACAAGAAAUGGAGUAAAUAAAAAUUUUAAAAAUUUUUUGAGGGCUUCGGACGAAUUUCAGAUUAUGUGGAAAUUAGAUUAAAAGAAGAUGCAAUACCAGUUAUACAAACACAAAGGAAGGUACUAUUGGCCUUUAAUGAAAAACUAAAAUCAACGUUAGAUGAUCUUGAACAAAAAAGUAUAAUUUCUAAAGUUGAGUAUCCAACUGAUUGGGUUAAUUCAUUGAUGAUUGUUGAGAAUUCUAAUGGAUUACUUUGUUUGUGUUUAGAUCCAAAACCAUUGAACAAAUAAAUUUGUCGAGAGCAUUAUAUUAUUCCUAGGCGAAAUUUUAGCUAAGCUGGAAGGAAAAGCAUUUUAAUCUGUAAUUAAAUUAAAAAAAUAUUAGAAAAGAUCUUUAAAAUAUAUAAAAUUUAACUUUGAUAAGCUGCAAUAUAAAAUGGCAGUGUUAAUUUGUUAGAUCAAAUCAUAACAAAAAAUGGAACACAACCUUCUAAAAAAAAAUGUACAAGCUGUUUCGGCUAUUGAAAAACUUUUAGACACAAGAUAUUUACCUAAUUCUAAGAUGUAUGUCGCAGAUGCAUUAAGUUGAUCUUAUAUUAAACCCUUAGAUACAGAACUAGAAUACACUGUUCAUGCACUCUCUUUAACUGUACCGAUGUCUGCAGAAAAGAAAAUUAUUUUUUAAAGUGCUGUUAAUAAUGAUUCGAUUUCAUCACAAGUAAAACAUUGUUGUAUAACUCAUAGCCCAACACUGAUAAAAAGUUGACUUCUGAAUUGAAAUAUUCCUUUAACUUGAGACAUAACAUAUAUUUUUCUGACAAUUUGCUAUUUUACAACAUAGAGAUUGUUGUUCCUUCUGAACUUAGAAGUAGUAUGUUUAAAUUAAUACAUUUGGCCAACUUUGGAAUGUAAAAAUGUAAAUUACAAACACGUAAAAUUGUGAUAUGGCUCAAAAUGUCUAAAGAUAUUGAGAACUAUGUAAGAAAUUGUGAAACUUGUCAAUUCAAUAGGCCAGUUAACCCAAAAGAGACUCUUGUACCCCAUAAAACACCAGAAAGGAGGCGUCCAUAAAUUACGUGAGACAUUUUUUAGGAUUUUUCGACUCCCCACCCUCCUGAUGAGAUUUCGUAAGAUUUUUCUUUACUACCUUCUCUCUCCCAUUCUCACGUGAGAUUUUUUAUAAUGUAUUUUUGAUUUGAGAAUAUUGCCUUAGUUUAAAAUCACUGUGAUGAAAUUAAAUAAUAAAUACUUCAACAUAAAUUGAUAAAAGAUUAUUCUAAUUCAGUCCAUGUAGACUCGUGCACUCUCAAGAGUGACUACUAGAACCAACAUAUUCAAAUAAUUUUCAAUGAAAUUAUCUGCUCCUUCAACUUCGCUCUGAUUGAGCCACUCCAAACCGUUGUCGUUGCACACAGAAGCUAAGUGGCUCGUCUUGUAACAAUACGCGAUGGUCGCAAUUUAAGUGUUUGCACAGCUCGUGGAUGAUGAGCCGCACGUCGAUGUACUGCAACUUUUGUGAUGGAUGCGAAAUAGGUACCACAUGUAUUGCAGCAUCUCUUUUCUAUAUCGUGACGUAAACUUGGAUAAUAGAGGUCAUAAGGCAUGCUUGUGAAUGUGUGUAAUGGUUGAAUAGGUAGGCAGUGGCGAAUUAAGAAUGGUGCAAAUGUUGUGUUGUGCUUUUCAGGAUACGGAAUUGCCGGAUGUCAAAUAACUUGAAUGGGAUA